GGGUGACGGGGCAGCCGGUGUCACCGCGCUGGUCCCUGCGGAGCCGCCAGGAGGGGACGCGAGAGCCGGGGUCUGGUGCCGAGCCUUGGAGCAAAGGGGACAGAGCCGGAGGCUGCGGGAGCUGGAGCAGGGCAGCCGGUCCCUCCUGCAGCAGCGGCUGCGGCUCCUGCAGCGGCUCCAGGGGCUGCUCCAGAGGGACAAGGCGGAGACCCUUCGGCAGCUCCGGGAGGCCCUGGAGCAGGUCUAUGGAAUCCCAGCAGCAUCCUGAGCUGGAUCAUCCCAGACUGGAUCAUCCUGGCACGGCUUUGGGAUACGGCAGCGUUCAGUGUGGCAGGGCCAGAAUUUUGGAAUCAUUCAAGUGCUCAAGUUACCUAAACCUUU
rnacentral:lncRNA from 1 species